AGUAACGCGUGGAUAACCUGCCUUACACUGGGGGAUAACACUUAGAAAUAGGUGCUAAUACCGCAUAAGCGCACAGAGCCGCAUGGCUCAGUGUGAAAAACUUCGGUGGUGUAAGAUGGAUCCGCGUCUGAUUAGCUGGUUGGCGGGGUAGAAGCCCACCAAGGCGACGAUCAGUAGCCGGCCUGAGAGGGUGAACGGCCACAUUGGGCCUGAGACACGGCCCAAACUCCUACGGGAGGCAGCAG
rnacentral:rRNA from 1 species